GAGGGGAUGGUUCUUCGGAACCAGAGACCGGCGCACGGGUGCGUAACGCGUAUGCAAUCUACCUUUUACAGAGGGAUAGCCCAGAGAAAUUUGGAUUAAUACCUCAUAGUAUUAUGACUCGGCAUCGAGAUAUAAUUAAAGUCACAACGGUAAAAGAUGAGCAUGCGUCCCAUUAGCUUGUUGGUAAGGUAACGGCUUACCAAGGCAACGAUGGGUAGGGGUCCUGAGAGGGAGAUCCCCCACACUGGUACUGAGACACGGACCAGACUCCUACGGGAGGCAGCAGUGAGGAAUAUUGGUCAAUGGGCGCAAGCCUGAACCAGCCAUGCCGCGUGCAGGAUGAAGCAUCUAUGGUGUGUAAACUGCUUUUGUACGAGAAGAAACACUCCUACGUGUAGGAGCUUGACGGUAUCGUAAGAAUAAGGACCGGCUAACUCCGUGCCAGCAGCCGCGGUAAUACGGAGGGUCCAAGCGUUAUCCGGAAUCAUUGGGUUUAAAGGGUCCGUAGGCGGUUUUGUAAGUCAGUGGUGAAAGCCCAUCGCUCAACGGUGGAACGGCCAUUGAUACUGCAAGACUUGAAUUAUUGGGAAGUAACUAGAAUAUGUAGUGUAGCGGUGAAAUGCUUAGAGAUUACAUGGAAUACCAAUUGCGAAGGCAGGUUACUACCAAUAUAUUGACGCUGAUGGACGAAAGCGUGGGGAGCGAACAGGAUUAGAUACCCUGGUAGUCCACGCCGUAAACGAUGGAUACUAGCUGUUCGGAGCAAUCUGAGUGGCUAAGCGAAAGUGAUAAGUAUCC
rnacentral:rRNA from 1 species